UACGAAGGGUGCAAGCGUUACUCGGAAUUACUGGGCGUAAAGCGUGCGUAGGUGGUGAGUUAAGUCUGUCGUGAAAGCCCCGGGCUCAACCUGGGAAUGGCGAUGGAUACUGGCUCGCUAGAGUGUGGUAGAGGAGAGUGGAAUUCCCGGUGUAGCAGUGAAAUGCGUAGAGAUCGGGAGGAACAUCAGUUGCGAAGGCGGCUCUCUGGACCAGCACUGACACUGAGGCACGAAAGCGUGGGGAGCAAACAGG
rnacentral:rRNA from 1 species